AAGCGGAGGAACAUGUGGUUUAAUUCGAUGAUACGCGAGGAACCUUACCCGGGCUCGAACGGCAGAGGAAGGAUGCGGAGACGCAAACGCCCUUCGGGGCUUCUGUCGAGGUGCUGCAUGGUUGUCGUCAGCUCGUGCCGUGAGGUGUCGGCUUAAGUGCCAUAACGAGCGCAACCCUUGCCGUCAGUUACCAGCACGUCAUGGUGGGGACUCUGGCGGGACUGCCACCGCAAGGUGAGAGGAAGGGGGGGAUGACGUCAAAUCAGCACGGCCCUUACGUCCGGGGCGACACACGUGUUACAAUGGUGGGUACAGAAGGAAGCUACCUGGCGACAGGAUGCAGAUCUUUAAAACCCAUCUCAGUUCGGAUCGGAGUCUGCAACCCGACUCCGUGAAGCUGGAUUCGCUAGUAAUCGCGCAUCAGCCAUGGCGCGGUGAAUACGUUCCCGGGCCUUGUACACACCGCCCGUCAAGCCAUGAAAGCCGGGGGCGCCUGAAGACCGUGACCGCGAGGAGCGGCCUAGGGCGAAACUGGUAAUUGGGGCUAAGUCGUAACAAGGUAGCCGUA
rnacentral:rRNA from 1 species